ensembl:lncRNA
ACAACAACAAUAGCAUGAAAGCAAAACUUUUAUCCAGACUUUGAGCCCUAAACGUCUUCACUCUGAGGGGGAAAUUACAUGCAGUACAACAGACAGUACAGAGGCAUCCACUGGACACAAUACACAGAGCCAGGUGAGGUUGUUCUCAGUGAUUUAUUUAUCUGGAUUCAACUAACAUCUUUCUCUGAGACAGAAUUGCUGUGGCAAAUAAACAACCUUAAGAGUCACAUGCAUAAAAUGUGAAUCGCAUGAGGCUGAAAGAUGACGGUGGAGAUGAUGAAAAGGGAGGACUUUGUGUCUGUGUGUGUGCAUGCGUGUGUGUAAAGUGUAUUGUGCCUUUUAAACGCCCUCAGAGGGGUUAUGUUCUUUAAAUGACUUUCAGUGUUGAUGUUGCUGCACAUUGCAGGACGGUUACUUUAUAACAGACUAAUGCUGUAUCACAUACUGCUUGAUGCGUCAUCAGCUGGGAUCAGAUGAAGGGCAAAGUUGAAACAGCAUCACUCUGACGUUGAAGCCUUUUUAAACCAGGGAUGUCAAAUUCAUUUCACAUCGUGGGCCGCAAAGAAGCUACUUUGAUCUUAAAUGGGCUGGAGCAGUGAAAUGACAUGCUAAAUAUUAAUAAUUACUGGAAAAGUUCUGACAAUUCAUUGCCCAGACUGGCCUGUAAUUAUAAAAUAUAAAGUUUUAAUUCAAAACAUAUUUUAUUAAAUGACAAAUUUAUAUAGUAGAUACUGAGAAAAUGGGAAAUUUCUGUCAAUGAAUUGUUUAUUUAUUACUUAAUAACUUUAGCAUACUACAAAUGGGGGGGUCUUCAUUAACAGGAAAAGCCACAAAACCUAUGAAAAUCUAUACAGUCAUUCACAUUUUCCAGACUGGAGUCUUUGCAGGUCAAUUCUGGUCCCUGGGCCUUAUAUUUGACACCCCUGAUUUAAACUGUCCUGACAUCGCAGCAUCAUUGUUCUGAACUCACCACUGCCUCGUCUGUACCCCACAUCGCAUUUGUUCGCCUGCACAAACGCAGCAUUUGGAACAUUUUGUUUCACUCGUAAAAAGCAAACUUUUCAGAUGGAUUCUGUCAUUGACUUUUAACACAUCUCAAGUAGAGCUCAGCCAGCAGCAGUGCUACGGUCCUCCUGGCACCUUCAACCUGUUAUUGAUCUGUGUAAUCGUCCCUGUGUACAGUGUAGUGUAUGUGUGCAUGCUGUUUACUGGAAAAUACAGAUUAAAGGGCAAAACCCUGGCAUGACUGAAUUGCACAUCCAAGCUUGAAAUAAAUAUAUAAAUAAAUAUAUUAAAUUUGAUUUUGAAUAAAUAAUGGGAGGAUAGCGAUCUCUCCGUGGCUGCGGUGUAAUAUCAUGCAGUCAGUGGAAAUGGCCUGUGUUAUUUUAGAGAUACCAAACAGCCUUUGUCUGCGUGUGUAUCUUAUCGCAUCCAAAGUGAAAUCUGCAAUAACACGGGUUCUGCGGCUUGUACGUGUUCAUGGGGGCAGUAGGGUGUUUUGAGUUGGCUGUGUGUGCUGGGUUAUGGAGGAUGGUCUGGGUGUUUUGUUUCGUUUUUCUUUUUUUCUUUUUAGGAGGUGGGGGGAGGACAUAGAUAAUCUAGCAACAGCACAGAGGCUCAGUUCUUUCUUGAAUUAUCUCCAGCUACUUCUGCUGGCCAGCGUCAGAUAAGAGAGCCACCGCUGUGUCUAAGAUGGAUGAUUUAUCAAGCAGAGGAGAGACUCUAUUAUACGAGAUGCAGAAUAACUUUCAGCAGCGCAGCGUCGUACCUACUGAUGUCUAAUGUUCAGAGGAGCAGAGACUCCAUUUCUUGACAUCCAUGGAUGCUAACACACAUCACCUCACUGCCAGAUCUUUAGCAAAAAUAACACUGAUUUUCAUUGUGCUUUUCUUCUUGUAGCCCACUGUUACUUUAGGCUUGGGUUUAAUAUUUGAUUUCAUAUGUGGAGGCCAUAACUAAUAAUAAUAAUUCUCUAUGUUUUGGGGUUGGGGGGGGGGGUGGUUCUUUAGCGCUAACAGGAAGUGACAGGCUUUGUGAAAACCAACUGUGUAGGCUCUGAUGCCGCUUCAUCCUUCUUCUUUUUUUGGGGGGGGCUAUACACAGCAGACUUAUGAGGUCCGGGGCAGAUGUGCGUGUGCUUGUGCACAGAUAAAGGGAAAUAUUAAAUCAUUGAGUUUUUCUGCAUUGCAAAAACCUCACAAAGUUACAGCAGAUGAAGUCAAGGGUAGAUUUGGAGGGGGGUGUCAGGGCAGCGGUUGUGAAUCUGCCACGUUAAUGAUGCUGAUGUGCUAUUACUCUUUCCAUGUGUUGAACCCAUUGUGAACCUGUGCCUUGUUGUGUGUCGUUCUAAGGAAUUUACCAGGGAAAGGGACUCUUUCUUCUUCUUCUUUACAUAGAAAUACAGUAAUUACAAUGCAUCUGUCAAACCCCUCCUCUGACUCUUCUCAUAUUCAAUUAGUAUUUAUACAUGUCGUCACAGAGGAACAUUUGUGUGUUUUUAAGUGCUAGGGAGAGUGUUAGGUUUCUGAUGCUUACUUGUACAGUUCAGCUUCGAAGCACAGAGGGGUACGUGUGCAACAGCAGUCUGUCUUCAAGUGUACGAGUUAUGAUGGAUGACUAUAAAAUGGACAGAGUAAAUGUAGGCAAGAGUCAGUAGUAUUGAACUAGCAAGUCAAGUGCAUGUGAAACGCCUAAACCAGUUAAAUGAACUUAAAGCAAACCGAAAUGAAGAAGUUUCCUUCCCUGUCUAUGUUUGCGUUCGCUCAAAAAGGAAAAAUCCACAUCAGGCGUCUUUCUCCUCGGAGUGGUGUUUUUUUCUUGUGUGUUGUUUUUUUUAUCCAGGCGGAUGAUGUGGGCCGUGUCCUUAAAUCCAUGAGGAAUUUCUCAGGGGGGGAUACGAUGUGCAGAUCCAGCCCCAUUUGUCUUUUAUUUCCUCUGUUUUUGUUCUUUUAAAUUUGAGGUGGAUAUUUCUUAAAACACUUGUUUGGCUGAAUCCGCUGUCUGUAUGCUUUUUUUUUCCUUCUUCGUAUUGUGCUGUCUCUUUUGUUAGGCUGUCCUCAGCGGGCCAUUGUUCACCACCGCCCCCCCUGCCACCCCACCAACCCUGCGAGGCUUCCUUUGCUGUUGUCUCCUCUGCACAUCAGUGGCAGACCUGACAAAUAUCUGCUGCCUUUUUGCUAUAAUCUGUGCUUUAAUACAAUACAUUAUGUACUGUUUUGGUCCAUAUUUUUUUAAACAAAAAAUGUCAGAUUGAGUCAAGAGGAUUAAGUCCCUCUUUAAAUGCCCCCCACCUCCUUUUUUUCCUUUUCCUCGUGAUUAAGAUGUGAGCACUUAUCGAGAAGCUUAGCCGUUUUCUCCCUUCUCAGCUCAGAGGCCAGCCACCUGCAAUGGAAAGGAUUAAGACGGGUUGAAAAAAGAUCACCAAGGUUUAAUUUAAUCUCAGUA